CUCAUAGCACAUAAUGCUGGCUGUUGGUGCUAUUGUCUUCAAGGACUUCUGCACGUCUGGGCAGAUCCGCCACCAAUGUCAGAAAAGGAGGAGGAAUCAAGUUCCCUCUUGCAAGACUCUUAACUGCCCAUCAGUCAGUGUCAAAAGAGGUCACAUUUUCCAGAGAUAUCCUGAGUAAUCAACAAGCCCUCUGUCCAGGCAUGCACAAGUUUCUGUCUUCUCUGAAGUUAAUAUAGAACUGAAACAGAUAUCU